rnacentral:rRNA from 1 species
GACGGAGGAUGCAAGUGUUAUCCGGAAUCACUGGGCGUAAAGAGCGUGUAGGCGGUCAGGUAGGUCCGUUGUGAAAACUCGAGGCUCAACCUCGAGACGCCGAUGGAAACCAUCUGACUAGAGUCCGGAAGAGGAGAGUGGAAUUCCUGGUGUAGCGGUGAAAUGCGCAGAUAUCAGGAGGAACACCGGUGGCGAAGGCGGCGAUCUGGGUCGAUACUGACGCUGAGGUGCGAAAGCGUGGGGAGCAAACAGG